ACGCUCGACACCUACGGAGGCAGCAGUGAGGGAUAUUGGUCAAUGGGGGAAACCCUGAACCAGCAACGCCGCGUGAGGGAUGACGGCCUGGUUGUAACCUCUGUCCUCUGUGAAGAUAAUGACGGUAGCAGAGGAGGAAGCUCCGGCUAACUACGUGCCAACAGCCGCGGUAAUCUGAGCGGGCGUGGCGAAGGC
rnacentral:rRNA from 1 species